rnacentral:rRNA from 1 species
UAGGGAAUCUUCCACAAUGGGCGCAAGCCUGAUGGAGCAACACCGCGUGAGUGAAGAAGGGUUUCGGCUCGUAAAGCUCUGUUGUUAAAGAAGAACACGUAUGAGAGUAACUGUUCAUACGUUGACGGUAUUUAACCAGAAAGUCACGGCUAACUACGUGCCAGCAGCCGCGGUAAUACGUAGGUGGCAAGCGUUAUCCGGAUUUAUUGGGCGUAAAGAGAGUGCAGGCGGUUUUCUAAGUCUGAUGUGAAAGCCUUCGGCUUAACCAGAGAAGUGCAUCGGAAACUGGAUAACUUGAGUGCAGAAGAGGGUAGUGGAACUCCAUGUGUAGCGGUGGAAUGCGUAGAUAUAUGGAAGAACACCAGUGGCGAAGGCGGCUACCUGGUCUGCAACUGACGCUGAGACUCGAAAGCAUGGGUAGCGAACAGGAUUAGAUACCCUGGUAGUCCAUGCCGUAAACGAUGAGUGCUAGGUGUUGGAGGGUUUCCGCCCUUCAGUGCCGGAGCUAACGCAUUAAGCACUCCGCCUGGGGAGUACGACCGCAAGGUUG